rnacentral:rRNA from 1 species
GAUGAACGCUAGCUACAGGCUUAACACAUGCAAGUCGAGGGGAAACGACAUCGAAAGCUUGCUUUUGAUGGGCGUCGACCGGCGCACGGGCGAGUAACGCGUAUCCAACCUGCCCAUCACUUGGGAAUAACCUUGCGAAAGUAAGACUAAUACCCAAUGACAUCCCACGAAGACAUCUGAAUGGGAUUAAAGAUUUAUCGGUGAUGGAUGGGGAUGCGUCUGAUUAGCUUGUUGGCGGGGUAACGGCCCACCAAGGCAACGAUCAGUAGGGGUUCUGAGAGGAAGGUCCCCCACAUUGGAACUGAGACACGGUCCAAACUCCUACGGGAGGCAGCAGUGAGGUAUAUUGGUCGAUGGGCGAGAGCCUGAACCAGCCAAGUAGCGUGCAGGAUGACGGCCCUAUGGGUUGUAAACUGCUUUUAUAAGGGAAUAAAGUGGGUCUCGUGAGACUUUUUGCAUUUACCUUAUGAAUAAGGACCGGCUAAUUCCGUG